rnacentral:rRNA from 1 species
UGGGGAAUAUUGGACAAUGGGGGCAACCCUGAUCCAGCCAUGCCGCGUGAGUGAUGAAGGCCUUCGGGUUGUAAAGCUCUUUUGGCGGGGACGAUGAUGACGGUACCCGCAGAAUAAGCCCCGGCUAACUUCGUGCCAGCAGCCGCGGUAAGACGAAGGGGGCUAGCGUUGUUCGGAAUUACUGGGCGUAAAGCGAGUGUAGGCGGUUGCCGUAGUCAGGUGUGAAAGCCUUGAGCUCAACUCAAGAAAUGCACUUGAUACUGGGUGACUAGAGGACCGGAGAGGAUAGUGGAAUUCCCAGUGUAGUGGUGAAAUACGUAGAGAUUGGGAAGAACACCAGUGGCGAAGGCGGCUAUCUGGACGGUUACUGACGCUAAGACUCGAAAGCGUGGGGAGCAAACAGGAUUAGAUACCCUGGGUAGUCCACGCCGUAAACGAUGGGUGCUAGACGUUGGCGAGCUUGCUCGUCAGUGUCGCAGCUAACGCG